GCGGCUGUUGGGAAGGCGUUUAUCAAAAAGAGCGGGCUUUAUUUUCGUGUAAAGCGGGGACAGAACUAGCCAUGUUACCCAAACAAAGACUCUGCCGGGUCCUAGCGCUGGGUGGGUAACAUGUUGGCUGCACUGGAGCCAUCUGAUUAUGUUGACAUGCGAACUAAAUGUGACCGUUGUAGUUUCCACUGUAUUGUUACAGCUCCCUUUCAAAUCCUAGUCACGGUUUACCGGACAUGCCCAGUUUGACUGAAACGCUGCGGGCAGUCGUGUGUCAGAAUAAAGCUCGUAUGGAAGUGAGCAACUUCUUGCCGUGAAAAGCUAAGCUAGGUCGCUAACAGUGCAGUUAGCUUGAUGAUGCUAAUGCCACUGAGACACAGGUGACAGAGGAGGAGUCUUCUAAUGUUGCUGCCACAGCUUUUGCUGUUAACGACAUUCUUCUUUUGCCUUUAUUCUGCUACUUGACUCCGAUAGCUUCCGUUGCUACCUCAAAUGUACUGACGUUCACCAUGUUUGUGUGCCUGAGGAAUCAUACACUACGUGAAUUGGUACAUAUGAGGAUAUGGCUUCCUGUCCCUCCCAGCCCUGUGUCUACUCACUGCCCACAACAUCAUGUCAUAAUUGAUUGCUAUAUGAACGAUUCUUUGCACACGGGAUAGGUUAUGUUUAACCGACUUACUGCCCCGAUGUGGAUGACUGCAGUAAAAAUGGUGAAAAGGCUGCAGAGGCAAUGUCACUCAGUAAGGAGGAUAUGUCAAUCUUUGGCCUGUACCCUGGCCAUGAUGACUUCUACCUUGUGGUGUGUAGCCACUGUGGUCAAGUCGUGAAGCCACAGGCAUUCGAGAAGCACUGCGAGCGAAGACAUGGCUCCCUGGCCAAACUUUAUGCGCGAAUUCGCUCUCCUACUCCAACUCCACAGCCCCAGCAGAAGCCCCUUCAUAGCCAUUCCCCUUCUCACGGGACCAACGCCAUUCCGUCUUCAUCUUGGGAUGGUCGAGGUCAAGGUGUCGGGUCAGUUCGGCCGGCUCCACCGGCCCCUUCUACACCAACCCAGCACAGACCCACCAAGAACUCCAAGGAAGGAGCACGACAUUUCCCGCUGGAAAAAUCAUCCCACGGCAGCCACACAGAUUCAUCAGUAUUGAAGCAGCUGCCGCCUGCAGAGCUGCCGAUCAGCUCUCCACCCCCGUCCCUUAGAGACCCCCCCUGGCCACACGGAGACACCCCACCCGGUAGGCCUUCACCCACGGACCGGCCCAUCACCCAAAGAAGGGAUUCUUCUCCAGCCUCUGUGGUACCAAGCCACCGUAUUCCCAGACCCUACAACAAAAUGGCCUCCAAGAGAGAGUGUGACUUGGACAAACACUGUGGUGUCCUUGACCCUGACAGGAAGAAAGUCUGCACUCGCCUCCUCACAUGCAAUAUCCACUCCAUCCACCAGCGUAGGAAGGUGUUGGGCCGCAGUAAGAAUUUCGACCAGUUAGUGGCGGAACUGAAGACCAAGGUUCGUGAGAAGGGGGCUCAAUUGCUGGAGGGAGGUGGUUCGGCCUCUGGACGGUCCCCCAGCCCAGAGGCACCAAAAGAGCAAGCUGGAGCUCCACACUGCCGUAGACCUUUGGCCAGCCUCCCUGCUUUCAGUCGCUACACAGGCGUAUCGGACAACACGGCAGAGGACGACAGGCAGCUGCAGGAUGAGGGAAACCUCCGGGCUUCAUCUCCUCUUGUCCAUGGAACAAUUUCCAGUGAUGAAAGUGAUGCAGAAGGAUCAGAGGAGCCCGUUGAGUUCUCAUCUUCUGCUGCACACCCACGACCACUAGCAAUGUGUUCAUUUGGAGGAAGUAUGUUGGGCCAUGGCAUCUACACAUUUGAUAGAAGGCUUCACCAUCUGAGGUCCGCUUUCAGCAGCAUGCUAGAGCAGCACAUCAGUGCACAUCUCUGGAAGAAAAUACCUCAAGCCUCCGACUUUCAGUGUCCAACUUCCUCAGCCAAGAUCAUCACCUCCUCGUCUCCUGCCUCAAUCACCAGCGGAUCCCCGACCUCCUCCUCUUUACAUUCUAAAGUCCGCACCGCCGCUCAUAUCAAGUCCUCUCUCAAGAAUAUUUCAUCUUCAUCUUCCAGUCGUGUGGCUGGGAGAUUGUCAGAGAACUCUGGCGGCGGAGGCGGCGGUAUGGGCGGCAGUCAGUUGGCGUCACCAGGUAAUCCUGUGACGGUGCAUCACACAGGUCCAGGACGGCCCAAGAACCCAGUAGGGCGUCCUAGCAAGCAGAUGCUGAAGCUGCGAGAGGAAGCUACCUCCCAUAAACGCAAAGCCCCCUCCCAGGAGGAGCAUUCAGGCCCAAACAGGAACUGUGUCAUUCUACAUGACCGGGGCCGCCCACCUUCCUCAGCUUCUUCACCAUCUCCCUUCCCGUCCUCCUCUAAAGCCCCCAUUCUCUCACCUCUUCCCCACGGACAGACCAAUGGCACGUUUUCUUCUAGCAGCAAACCCCGCCCCCAGCCUGCCCCCUCAGAGCUCCACUCACCAGCUUCUAAGACAGUUUGGACGUACAGACGGACUCACCCCACACUGGGGCACUCGUCUCCACCAGAGCCCUCGUCCAUCAACAGCUCCCACAGUCGGAACUCCACGGGGGACUCAGGACUACACAGGCAGGGCAGUGGGAGGGGUUUUGAGGGUUUGAUAAAGAAACGCAAGGGAGGCGGCCUUGAGGAACAGUCCCCCUCCUCAAAAUCCUCAGCGCACCUCCUGUCCUCCUCCUCAUCCUCGUCCACUCCUGCCUCCUCUUCUCCUCGCUCCAACUUCUACCCUUGGAAGGACAGUAAGAGUGGGGGCCUAGCGGGGGGCAUGGAGAAGAAGCUGGGCACACAGAAGCCAAAACUGCACCAUUAGUCGUGCCUGCCUUACAAGCCACUAGAGGGAGCCAGCUCGACUCGGUCCAAGAUCGAUGCAACAGGACUGCGUGUGUGCGUGUGUGUGCGUGUGAGACAGACGGCCUGCACUUUUGAAAAUUGGAGAAGGCUUCAGUUCCUUGUGUUCCUGUUUCCAGGACAAGGAUGUUUGGUAGCAUCCCUUCCCUUCUCCACAUUGGCAAAAGGCUUGACACACCUACCAUCAAUUAUAGCAAGGUCAGUUCUCUUUGGGGAGUGUGGAGGUGUUUCACUGUAAGUAGUUGACUACUUACGUGCUUCAUAAAUUGUGAAUCUCUUCACGAAUUUAUGUGGGCUCUAGUAGACAACACACAGUGAGCAGAAGCCGAGGAAGGUAAUAUUACCAUCAUUUCUGAUGAAGGUGACGGAAUUGUUCAGGAGAUCAAACAUGUUGACCUCGACCACCUCUGAAGGCGGGUCCAGAGCCACAAACACCUGCUGGGUCACGGCCAUCUGCGACUGCUCCGCGCACGCCUCGCCCUCCGCUUCCUGUACGGAGAUCAUCUGAUUGGAGAACAGGCCACUUUUAGAUCUGGGUGGAUACUGUAUGUUCACGUGUGAGCAGUCUUACCGUGUGUGUAUUGGCAGCUUGCUCUUCACCGGCCUCCUCCUGUGUCUGCUGGGCCUCCAUGUGGCAGGACAGGAGGUGCUCCUGCAGCUCCAGCUGGGAGGUGCUAACCAGGCUGCAGAGCGGGCAGAUCCAAUGCUUGAUGUUUUUUGUGUGCUGGGAGUUGAUAUGUGCAUGCAACUCAUCAUGGCUGCUGAACACAUCUUGACAGUGCGGGCAGCGCAAGGUGGACGCCGCAGAGCCUGGACACACACACACACACACACAAUGCAGCUGGCGGCACUGGGGAAGAACCUGAAACAGACGUCACACUGGACCAGGGUCUUCAGCUGCCGCGUUUGGCUGGUAAACACAUCAGGGUGGUUGGUCCUGUUAUGGUACCACAGCCCAGACAGUUGCUGUAGCGACAGAGAGAGAACCGUUGACUAAAGAGUACCACUGCAUGGUCACCAAGUUUCACAGGUGCUGAAACACACAAUGAAGAAGCGACCUAUCAGACCUGCAGGGCGACGCUGGUGAAGACUUUGCUGCAGGUGGGGCACUUGUGGAACUCCUUCAGGUGGAACUCCUCGUUGUGCUUCUGAUGCUCCUCCAAAGUCUGGAAGCUGAGGCAGCACUUCGGACAGUCGAGGGCCUGCGGCAGGUCUGACAGGAAGCGGGAGAGCAUGUGAUGUUUGUUUUGGUUAGAUAUUUGAGCUGUCACAAAAGCAAAAAAAAAUUGUGUCAAAGUGAAAGUUAUGCUUGAAAUGCAUCUUAUACAAGAAGCUGGUUUUCUGCCUUUUCUAGUCAGGAACUGAUAUUUUCCUGAAACUUACCUACGUUCUACUGCUGGUUACUAAAGAACAGAAAAAGGUAGAAACAAUUUUUUUUUUCCUGAUGACAGACGGGAAUCUAAUAUUUCUUUUGGCAGGCUCCAUGUUUAUAUAGCCAUAGAACACAAUAUUCUGUGUGCCUUGAAAGAUCAGUCACAAUCGUCUAAAAUGGCCGCUACUGAAGGGGUUGUCUUUUGAAAAAUGGCUGGGAUUGAACGAGUUAAGAAUGAUCAAUACAGUACAGUGAAACUGUACCUUCGAGUGGCCUUUUAUUGUGGCCAGCCAAACGCACACAUGUGCAAUAAUCAUGCUGUCUGCAAUAAUAACAAACAUUUAAAUUAAAUUUGUCAACAAUUUUUGAUAGAAAUAGGCCUUUUGUGUUCAAUCAUGAAAGAUGGGCACAAAAACCAAAGGUGUUUUUGCUAUGCAACCUCAUUAAACAAAAGCUACCUUAACGAUGGAGUGUAUGGGGUGAUUAUGAUGCGCACACACACACACACACAAUGGCUGUGAGUGGGUUCUUACUGUGGAAAGUCUGCAGGUGGACCGUCAAGCCACUGGCCUGGCUGUGGCCUUUCCCGCAUUCCCGACACACGUAGGGCCGAUCACCAGUGUGUGUUCUCACGUGGCGCGAGAGCUCGAUGGACUGGGCGAAGACAGCCUUGCAAUACUGACACGCGUACAUCUUACCUGAACCCACAAACAGCAACAUGUGACCUCUGCAUUUAAGCCAUCACUGUGUGAACAACAAUCUCACACAUAAAUGUGUGCUGGCGUGAGUGUGUCUCACCCUCUGAGUGUUUCUUCUUGGUGUGG